UCAAAAUAAAAUUAUUUUCCAAAAUCGAUUUGAGCUAGACUAUAUAGCUGUAUGAUAACAUAAAAUAAUGAUGAAGAUUGAUGUUAUUCUUCACUGUACUGUACCAGGUUCCAGAAAACAUGCAGUCUGUAAUCUACCCCCAUGUCAGUGUAGAGAGGCCUGUUCAUGAAGACACAAAAUCAUUCGACGACAUCAAAACAUAUUACACAGUGUAGAUGGACGGAUAGAAAGCGUGAACAUCAAAAGACAUCGUGUGUGUUACCCAGUUUCCAUUCUGCAUCUAACAAUAGCAACAAAGCAUCCAACAUCAUAACUUUAUUAUUAUAUAGUCCAGGCAAUGAAUGCUCAAAAGAGGGUAUAGUGAGAAAAGUUUGGAAGACUAUAUUUGACCCCGCAAUUUUGUUUUGGGUAUUAAGGAGGUAAAAAUAUUCCCACCCCUACCCCUUGUGCUAAGGGGAUGGGGUGGUUCAAAGGUACCAUUUUUGGUUUCUCGCAUAUAACUCGAAAACUAUGUAUCUUACGGACAUAACUGUUACAUACAAAAGUAAAGCUUAUAUAAUUUCCUACAAUAUUCAUCU